rnacentral:rRNA from 1 species
GUGGCGGACGGGUUAGUAACACGUGAGUAACAUGCCUUGAAGUGGGGGAUAGCCUUUCGAAAGGAAGAUUAAUACCGCAUGUGGUCUUUGGACCAAAGAUGCCUUAGGGUGCCGCUUUGAGAUUGGCUCGCGGCCUAUCAGUUAGUUGGUGAGGUAACGGCUCACCAAGACAACGACGGGUAGCUGUUCUGAGAGGAAGAUCAGCAACACUGGAACUGAGACACGGUCCAGACACCUACGGGUGGCAGCAGUCGAGAAUCAUUCACAAUGGGGGAAACCCUGAUGGUGCAACGCCGCGUGGAGGAUGAAGGCCCUAGGGUCGUAAACUCCUGUCAUAUAAGAGUAAGGCAUAACAACUUAAUAUCUGUUGUGUUUGAUGGUAUUAUAAGAGGAAGGGACGGCUAACUUCGUGCCAGCAGCGGCCGUAAUACCAAGGUCCCAAGCGUUAUUCGGAAGUCUCUGCGGCGUAGAGAGUACGUACGCGGUUUGGUCACCUCAGGUGUGAAAUCGCCAGAGCUCCACUCCCGGAGGUGCAGCCGAUACUGCUAGAAUGGAGUAAUAGAGAUGCAGGUGGAAUUCACGGUGU